ACAGGCAACGUGAGCGACUCUCAGCGGCGCCGCCAUUUCCCUCGCGCGCCCCGGCCUUUGACCUCACGCAGCUUCCGUCCCGCGAGGCAGCGCCGGCGGGGCCCCCGCGAGAGGGCGGGGCUGUGAACGGGGGAGCCAGGCUCUGAGCUCCCUCAGCCUCCCGCUGGCAGCCGCGUAGCCCGGACGGGCACCUGGGUUCUCCGGCCGCCGAAACCCAUUCCGCUGACGCCGAGCACGUGCUCAGCGUGGCGCUCGCCCGUCUGCGCGGCGCUUGUGCCCCGCCUUGGUGGCCGCUCCGGGGCGGUAACGAAAGAGGAUCGCUGGGUCCGCUCCUGCGCCUCCGCCAACCGCCGCUGCUACUCGCUCAGCUGUUUCCCUCCCGCGGCUUCCGGGCGCGGCGGCUGGCGGGUGUAGCGGUUACGGGACGUCACCGGGUGGCGGGAGGAGACGCUGCUCGGAGUCCGCCCGCCGCCUGCGGGGCGGGGCGGGGCGGGGGGGGUCCGUUAGGGUCGUUGUAAAUACCCAGCCUCAGCCCCUCACCCUGUUUUGUUAGGGACACGUCGCAGUGGAGGAAGAGCCCGACCUUUCUUACAGCUGUCUUAAGAUUCCCCGGGCACCCGAGUCCCAGGAACGUUAAAGGAGAGAUUUCUCAUGGUGGACGGGUCGGUGGAAUAGAAAAAUAUUUAUGAAUAAAAAUGGAGUGACAGAGCUGCUUCGUGUUCCCAAAGACGGUGCUCACCCAGUGGGGUUUGGGAUAUGGCCCUGUGGUCAUUUCCAUGACUGGGGAAAUUCCACAUCUCUAGCACAACAAUACUCUCUUGCAGAAACUUCUACCCUCUGAACCCACCGCUGUAGAAUUUACCACAGAAGGGGAUGAUCCAGGAUGAGGAAUUAUUCCCUGUGAGAAUGCUUUUAGACUGUAUCUACAUGAUCUUUGAGGGGAAAACACUGUUUUCUUUUACCAGCCAGAUUUACUUGCCCUACAUUUUAAAAAAAAAAAAUGUAACUUGCCUCAAUAAUUUGACUCGACAGUAUAUUCCACAAACACAAUUAAAUCAUUUUGUAAGAUAAGAAAGCAGACAAACAAGUUUUCACACUACAUCUAAAAAAUUUAGAUUAAACAUUUUAAAUUGAAAGUUGAAUAGUGCUUGUGAAAGGUGCUGGAUUUAAUUUAAUAAAUAUUAAUUGCAUCUCCGUUCAAUAUUUAUUGAAGGGACUAAAUUUUAAAUAGUUUACAAAUCGCUUUCACUGCCAAAUGCAUAGAUGUGCUUCACAUUUUUCUGAAGAAAAUAAUAGAGAAUGUAUUUCUGAAUAAUUUUACCAAACAGAAAUUGCUGUGUCAAAAUUUAAAUGUCCAAACAAUGAAUGUAAUUUUCUUGCUGAAAGACACUAGAAAAUCUCCUCAAAUCCUUUUGUUAAACAGGGAAGUCUCAUGCAAUCAUGACCUAGAAAACUGCUUGAAAAAGUAGAAGGGGAUGAAACAGCUUGUCAUGUAAUCAAACUGAUUAGAGCUUCUGCUUCAAAAACAUAAUGCAGAAACAGAUGUGGUAGCAGUCAUGCAUUCCAGAGCACAUAAAAUGUGGAAAGAGGUUUUUUUUCCCCAUUGGGAAAAAAAAAAAAAAAAAGCCACUCAGAAGUGCAAUCUUAAACAGUUAACAUGAUACUCUGUUUACAAACCCCAUAUUAGCAGAGGUUAUUGUGUGGUUUGUGGAUAAUAUUGCAAUACACUAGUAUCUUAUUAAAACAGAAAAGGCAUUAUGUAUUGUUUGCCUGACAUUCACACCCAUCUGUGGUUAUUUUCAAAUAAUAUUGCUGUGUAUGAAGAGCAGUAGCAGAUCCUUUGUGCUUAUAUAUUAUUUUAACUAUAUGUACAGAUGUCAAGAGUUAUUACAUGAAUUACACUGUGAAAUGUAAAGUCUACUGAUAAACAUGACACAGUAUGAACAUCUCUAAAAGAGAUAGGGCUCAAAUACGUCCUGAUCCAAAACUCAGAAGUCAGUGGAAAGACUCAUUUGGAUCAGGCCCACGUUUACUGGCAUUAUAUCUUUGCUUGAAGCAUUCUUUUCUGCAUCAUAGUUUUGCUAUCAGUACCUUCUGUCAUUUUUACACAUACACUAACUUAGUAAACAAGAUAUUCAAAAGUAGCAAGCAUCCAGCCAUCUGAUCUGAAGCUUUCUCAGAUCUCAGUUAAGAGCAAACACAAAAUGCAUGACUAUGGAAAAUCCCAGUUCCUUAUGCCAAGGGCACAAACAUCUUAGGUGCCUGGGAUUUAUAGUGCAAACACAUAUGCAAUAACUGUACACACCACUUUCAUAAAAUGUAUUUCUUUUAUUAUGAACAACCUUAUUUCCUGAAAACUAUUGUUAAGAAUCUAUCUCAAUUCCUAUUAAAACCCACAAUUCAAGUGUU